UCUAAUUCUCCCGACUCUCCCUCCCUCUGCCUCCUGUUGCCUUCAGCCAGAUGUGCCAGGCCUGCAUCAAAUGCCAUUCCGGGCCCCUGUCACCUGCCAGAGGGGAAAAGCACACGGCGACGCUCUCCCCUGUGAAAAGGUUGAAGGCAGACAGGAUAUCGGACCGAACGAUAGCAUCCUGCUGCUCACUGCGGCAUCGUCGAAUGGAACGAGCUGCCUGAUGUGUGAACCCGGGAGCAGCAGAAGAAGAACAGAAGAGGUGUACGGGGGGGAACCACGGCCUCCCCAGGGAUCAAUCUAAGAGGAACAGGUGGAGUACGAAGGGACACACGCACAGCGAACGAAGCAGGUUACACCUCUUUCAAUUGCAUCCACCGCAGCACGUGAGGGGAAUGCAGCUCUAGCCAACGUUAUCCGCAAAACAAGGCAGCCACAGAAAGUACGGCGAGGUGGAGCAAAGGGCACCGACGGGUCCUGUCACUUUUUAUCAUCACAAUCAACACUGGCUGUUUGGAAUGAAAAAGACGGGAAACAAGGACCGAGGACACGAGGAAAACAGCUCAAGGCUUCAUCGCACAGCGCGUGCAGCUUUUUGUGGAUAACUGUGCUACUUUGACUGUGGAUGUCUGCAGCAGGUUUAAUUAAACAUUAAAUAAUGUUAAAGUCGACAUUAAACAUGCAUGUAAUCCAAUCACAUCACAGAAACUGGACGUCACAUAAAUGACACGGCGACAACACUAUUUCUCCCCCGUCGUUGAUGGAAAAUGUGUAUUCUUAGAACCCGGCUGACUCAUUGAGUUACACAAUACAUUCCAUUAAAGUCAGGUGCAGCAUGAUUCAGGUUGGGGAUCGACUUCAAAGCCAGCGGAGGAAUUUUGUUCAGGCGGGGUAAAUAAUGAAAGUUCUCAAAUGCUGAGAAUAGCAUCGGUGAUUGUGUUCAUGUUGUGAAAUUCUUUCUCUAUAGCAAAAAGCAGAGUGACCUGAAACCCAGAUGCUUACUUUACCGUCUCCUACAGUGCGUUUCCGUCAUACGCCGCUUCACACCGAUCCCAAAGACCUGCUGGGGGGGCGACGCCCGAGGCAAAUAAACGAAAACAUGACAGAAGCUGCGUGAGCCAAAACUGCUCGAAAAAACAAACACAGUUUCCAUGCAAUCACAGACCUCAGUGAGAACGCGUCUGGGUGGGAUUUACCUGGCAUGGCAUCGGUGGUUAAUGUGUCAUCCGAGUCCAAUGGAGCCAAGGAGGCCAUAUGCACACACUC
ensembl:lncRNA